UGUGUAGGCGGUUGUUUAAGUUUGGUGUGAAAUCUCCCGGCUCAACUGGGAGGGUGCGCCGAAUACUGAAUGACUCGAGUGCGGGAGAGGAGAGUGGAAUUCCUGGUGUAGCGGUGAAAUGCGUAGAUAUCAGGAGGAACACCGGUGGUGUAGACGGCUCUCUGGACCGUAACUGACGCUGAAACACGAAAGCGUGGGUAGCAAACA
rnacentral:rRNA from 1 species